rnacentral:rRNA from 1 species
GAUGAACGCUGGCUACAGGCUUAACACAUGCAAGUCGAGGGGAAACGACGGGGAAGCUUGCUUCCCCGGGCGUCGACCGGCGCACGGGUGAGUAACGCGUAUCCAACCUGCCUCUGACUGAGGGAUAACCCGUCGAAAGUCGGCCUAAUACCUCAUGGCAUCGUCUGCGGGCAUCCAACGACGAUUAAAGAUUUCAUCGGUCAGAGAUGGGGAUGCGUCUGAUUAGCUUGUUGGCGGGGUAACGGCCCACCAAGGCGACAAUCAGUAGGGGUUCUGAGAGGAAGGUCCCCCACAUUGGAACUGAGACACGGUCCAAACUCCUACGGGAGGCAGCAGUGAGGAAUAUUGGUCAAUGGGCGAGAGCCUGAACCAGCCAAGUAGCGUGCAGGAUGACGGCCCUAUGGGUUGUAAACUGCUUUUAUGCGGGGAUAAAGUGAGGGACGUGUCCUUCAUUGCAGGUACCGCAUGAAUAAGGACCGGCUAAUUCCGUG